GAGAGAAAGAGAAAAACGUACGAGUAGGUUCCGACGACAGGAGCGACGAGGAGAAUAGUACUGAUCCAAUUCUCUGAGACCUUGUGGUGAAUCUUCUC
rnacentral:sRNA from 1 species